UCAGGCCUCUGCACGGCAGGCCGAAGAAUCCGACUCCGAGUGGCUGAGGAAAAGGGAUGGGCGAGAGGAAGGCGUUUCCAAGGAGGGCUUCAUCACAGCGGAGGUUGACACCGGGCGGCACGUCGGCGACCGGCGACGCUCUGUCUUGUGAGGGAUGAAGCGGAACCUGGCGGAUGGGGGAGCGUCCCGGUUAGAUGACCUUUUCCCCAUGAGAAGGGAAUCUGGAUUCUGCCCUCUGAAAGGUGCCACGGCACGAUUUGGAUUCCCGCACGACACCCUCGAGUGAGGUUUUUGUGGAGUAUCCAAGUAACAGCGAAGGAGCGGUGCAGUUAGCAAGGCAUCUUCCCUGGUCCCUGCCUAUGAGCGCUAACUCUACAGAGUCAGGCGGAGCGGCGAUGCUGUCUUAAGGGACAGGGUGAGGCCGUUCCACAGAUGGGCCAAGAAUCGGGGCCGUGGCCCGUUGUGGCGGGUGGGUGGCAGAACGGAUGUGCGUUUGGGCAGGGAAUCAGAGUAGCUAUCCAGGUGACUGCAAGCUGCAUGUGUUUGGCCGGGGGUUUGAAUCGGAGGAUCCAGAUUCCAUUGUAGUAGAAAGCUCUGGAAUGAGAAAAAUGUUAAGCGAAGCAGGAGAGAUUGACUGUCAAUGUGCCUGAGCUAAUAACUGUCAUUGCUCUGAGUCCUUGCUGUGGUGAUAGUGCAUCACUGGAAACCUAUGUAUUAAUGCCUAAUGUUGUUGUUCUUUAAAGAAAGUAACAAUAAAGGUAAAGUAAUAAAGAAU